AUGCUGCCCUCGGUCUCUUUGGCAAAGCUGGUCUGGUUACUUAAGUUCUUUCCAGGAGGGAAAAAGUUCUAUAUGAUGAUCAUUGCUGCCAUUUGCUGGGGGAUUUGGUGCCUUCGUAACAAAGUUACUUUCGACAAAUAUGUUGCUCGUACUCCGGUGGAGGUUGUUUUCACUGCUUGCUCGUUUAUGUUGUAUUGGAUAGGAUUGCUUAAGGAAGACGACAAGAUGAAGUUCCAUGCUAGGGUAAAGAGGUUGGCUCACGCGGCAGCUGCUCUGCCAGAUAGAUCAUACUCACGUGGCAGGCUUCUUCUGGGAGAUAGAGACGGGAUUCAGAUCGGCUAG
rnacentral:rRNA from 1 species